rnacentral:rRNA from 1 species
GAUGAACGCUGGCGGCGUGCUUAACACAUGCAAGUCGAACGGAAAGGCUCCUGCUUGCAGGGGUACUCGAGUGGCGAACGGGUGAGUAACACGUGGGUGAUCUGCCCUGCACUUCGGGAUAAGCCUGGGAAACUGGGUCUAAUACCGGAUAGGACCACAUUUUGGAUGGUGUGGUGGAAAGUUUUUCGGUGUGGGAUGAGCUCGCGGCCUAUCAGCUUGUUGGUGGGGUAAUGGCCUACCAAGGCGUCGACGGGUAGCCGGCCUGAGAGGGUGUACGGCCACAUUGGGACUGAGAUACGGCCCAGACUCCUACGGGAGGCAGCAGUGGGGAAUAUUGCAAAAUGGGCGCAAGCCUGAUGCAGCGACGCCGCGUGGGGGAUGACGGCCUUCGGGUUGUAAACUCCUUUCGCUAGGGACGAAGCGCAAGUGACGGUACCUGGAGAAGAAGCACCGGCUAACUACGUG